GUGCGUUCAAUCUGAUGCCUUCAAAUUUAAGAUUGUGCUGCAGCAGAGACCUAUGACCAAAAGGGGGAUCAUCGCUAUGGAAUAUGGCUGCAUCACUCUCGCCUUCACCUGCCAUUCGCACUAGGAGGGCACGCAGCACCCCAAUCGAAAAUCAGAAAGCCAAUACGAAUGAUAGUGAUCAGACACCUGUUGCAAAGAGGGCAAAGACAAAGAUUCAGAGAGCGACAGAAG